UAAGUAAAUAGUGAAAGCGUUCGGCUCAACCGGAUAUCCAUUAUUUAAACUGCAAAGCUAGAGGAUGAGAGAGGUUAUUGGAAUUCCCUGUGUAGGAGUGAAAUCCGUAGAUAUAGGGAGGAACACCGAUGGCGUAGGCAGAUAACUGGCUCAUUCCUGACACUAAGGCACGAAAGCGUGGGUAGCAAACGGGAUUAGAUACCCCGGUAGUCCACGCCGUAAACGAUGGAUGCUA
rnacentral:rRNA from 1 species